rnacentral:rRNA from 1 species
UGCCAGCAGCCGCGGUAAGACAGAGGGUGCAAACGUUGUUCGGAAUUACUGGGCGUAAAGCGCGUGUAGGCGGCUACGUGUGUCGGGCGUGAAAUCCCAUGGCUCAACCAUGGAAGUGCACUCGAAACUUCCGAUCUAGAGUGGUGGAGAGGGAAGUGGAAUUCCUGGUGUAGAGGUGAAAUUCGUAGAUAUCAGGAGGAACACCAGUGGCGAAGGCGGCUUCCUGGACACCAACUGACGCUGGGAGCGAAAAGAGGGGAGAACAAUAUAGAAUUAUAUC